rnacentral:rRNA from 1 species
GACGAACGCUGGCGGCGUGCUUAACACAUGCAAGUCGAACGGAAAGGCCCUGCUUUUGUGGGGUGCUCGAGUGGCGAAAGGGUGAGUAACACGUGAGUAACCUGCCCUUGACUUUGGGAUAACUUCAGGAAACUGGGGCUAAUACCGGAUAGGAGCUCCUGCUGCAUGGUGGGGGUUGGAAAGUUUCGGCGGUUGGGGAUGGACUCGCGGCUUAUCAGCUUGUUGGUGGGGUAGUGGCUUACCAAGGCUUUGACGGGUAGCCGGCCUGAGAGGGUGACCGGCCACAUUGGGACUGAGAUACGGCCCAGUCUCCUACGGGAGGCAGCAGUGGGGAAUAUUGCACAAUGGGCGGACGCCUGAUGCAGCAACGCCGCGUGCGGGAUGACGGCCUUCGGGUUGUAAACCGCUUUCGCCUGUGACGAAGCGUGAGUGACGGUAAUGGGUAAAGAAGCACCGGCUAACUACGUG